ACUCCUGCCUCGGGGAGAAGCGGUAACCUGAACAUAGCGCCCCAGACUGCUCAACCAUGCUGACCUCUUGCAUCCCAUUUCCGGAGUUAUAAUUUAAAUCUUGCCCAAACCAAGAAGUUAAUGAUAAAACUACGGAUCACCUCACCUGCUAUUCCGCAGUGGGCGCUCAUGUUGUCGCUGACCUUAGGACACGCUGACCAGCAUAUCUUUCUGAAAGCAUAAAGCAGGUCCUGUGUUUCCAGAGAGGCAUCAAAGAGAGAGGAGCAGGAGAACGCGUGGGGGAGGCAGGCUGUAAGCUUCAAGCUGCUCACAGAGAUAAAGACCAGACAUAUCUGUGAGUGUGUGCAUGUGUGUCCGUGCAUGUGUGUGUGAGGGAUUAGGCUGACUUUGACUGGCUCUGCCCCAUUGUGCCAGCAACUCCAAAGAAACUGCACACUGCCACAUGAUGGACAGGGCUUGGAAUUGCACAGACCCCCCCCCCCAACACACACACACACUCACACUGCGUUGUGUCUGUGUGAUAACGUCUCUUUGCCUCAGGAUACUCGCACUUUACAAAGUUGUAUGACUAGAAAAACACGCAGUAUAGGCACUGAAAGUCACUGGCUCUUGAAACAGUGCAGUCACAUAUGUUGAAUUUUAUAUGUAUGUGAGUGGCUUGAGAAGAAUGAAAGAAUGUAAGAGAGAGCAUACAUGUCACAGACAAUGAGAGAGAAAGUUCCAUGCAGCAGUUGCUUUGUUGUCUUGUGUGUGUGUGUGUGUGUGUG